CGGAUUUAUCUAUGAUAUGAGAUCCUGUACGGUUGUUUGUGACUUAAAAGCGUUUUGAUAUAUUUUAGUUAUUUAUUUAAUGCGCUAUCCUUUUGUGUUCUAUUUCAUGUCAUUAUUUAACAGUAUGGUUAUUUGUUCAUCGAAACCACUUUUAGUUCCAGUGAGUGAGUUAGAAAAUAUUUGAAGGUCCAUGACAUAUUUGAAUUAUAAAUUUGUUUACUUCAGCAUUACUUACUUAUUUACUUUUUAACAUUUUGUUUUCGUGAUGACAUUUUCUUAAUUGUGAGACUAAAUUAUUUAUUAUUUAUAUGAACAUUGUUGUAGCUGUCCAGUUUUACUUAAGAAUGUUUCAGUACUUGGAAAGAAGGGUGAAUGUGUCUUUCUUUCACUGGGAACAGAUACCAUGUUAACUGUUACAAUAGUUUAACGUCUUCAGUGGCACCAUCAUAAAGGCAUUACUCAGCUAUUCUCUCACUCCAGAAGUAUCUGAUCAAAGAAGCAAUAAUGUACACUUAAAACAGGCAAUGUGGUAUCUUUUGCCAGAGAAAGGAUUUACAAGGAUGAAUUGGCUGUGCCUUGAGUGCACUAGGGGUUAACACAAACAGGAGGGUUGCCAUUUAAACACAUUAAAUGAACGAGAAGACAAAAAAAGGAUUUGAAACCUGGAAAAUUGUAGGAAAUGUAUGCAGUCCAAUUUACACUAUGUAAGGUUGCAACGCAAUGCUCUGUCAGUCUGUUACAUUGCUUAUUUCACCAUCAGUGGUAUUAUUUUUCUUUUUAUAAACAUCUAUUGUUGGAGGCACUUCCCUGAUAUUUACAGUUAGGAAUAAAAUUCGAGCACCAUACAGUCAUUCUCUAGAUCUUUCAACAAAUGCGAGAGAGUUAAAGUUCAGUUGGAUGGUCAUAUUGAAAACACCAAUAUCUACAAUGGUGUUGUCUUUCCUGGACUAUAUUCUUGAUUUGCUGUUUUCGUCUUCAUCUUCACCUUGCAGCAUUUUAAUUUCCACUGAAGCAACAAGUUUUCUGCUAUGGUAUUCCUCCUAAAUUUGGUUUGCUUUUCACACCUGCAAACUUUGGAAUGUCACUGUUCAUGUUGGAAUGUUACUGGAAUGUCUGCUGUUCAUUAAGAUCGACGGUGGAGAAGAAAGAAGAACACCCCGUAGCUAAAAUACUUGUCUAUUUUGCAUGUUUUUUAUAGUUUGGUGUAUUUGAAUCAAUUUUUUAUUGUAGAUGUUUUUAUUUUUGUAGUAUUCUUUUAAUUUUUUUAGUAGCAGCGGUAGAACUAACCGUUUUUUUUUUAGAUGAAACUAUCAUUAAAUUGUUUCGACAGGUUAUGAUUUUAACACAUGAAACGAACAAGGUGAAAAAAUAAGGAUUGGAAACUUGGACUCUCCACAACCUCUUAUACUUGAAAGGUGCAAUUUCAGUGAUGUUGUGUGUUUUGCGUGUUGGCUCAUUUCACCAUCAGUGUAUUUCUUCGUUGUCAACGUUUAGGAAUAGAAGUGGAGCACCCUACUGUCUACAAUAAUCCCGGAGGUUAGCAAUUGUUUAUUAUUUUGACGGUAAUUUUCACAGCGAUGGCGAUCCUUGGGAUCUAUGGUUUCUCUUCUGUCAUCUAUUGGCCUUAGCAUAAAUUGAUGAUAGCGUGCAUCUAAGGUAGUCUAGCAACUAUCUAUUAUUCACAACAUUGGAUUAUCCAACAAAUGAAAGAGACUAAUGUUCAACUUGGUCAUACUGAAACAGUCAAGGUCUACAGUGGUGUUGUCUUUUGUGAACUAUAUAUUCGUGAUUUGCUGUUUUCGUCUUCAGCUUGCAACAUCAUGAAGUUAAUUUUCAACUGAUAAAUGAGAGCAACAGGAGAUUUACUGAAACAACAUUUUGUGCUGUGGUAUUCCUUCUGGAUUUAGUCUGCAUUUCACAUCUGCAAACUUUGAAAAGUUACAGUCUACAAUUAAUUAAGGUGGGAAUACUUGAUAUAAUUAAUUUUAAUUGCUCUUUAUUAAUCUGUUUGCCACCGUA
rnacentral:lncRNA from 1 species